rnacentral:tRNA from 1 species
GUCACGAUCAGAAUAAAUGGAAGUUUGCUGGGCCUGUCUCCCAGAGGUGCUGGUUCGAGUCCAGCUCGUGACA